rnacentral:rRNA from 1 species
GAUGAACGCUGGCGGCGUGCCUAAUACAUGCAAGUCGAGCGAACAGACGAGGAGCUUGCUCCUCUGACGUUAGCGGCGGACGGGUGAGUAACACGUGGAUAACCUACCUAUAAGACUGGGAUAACUUCGGGAAACCGGAGCUAAUACCGUAUAACAUGUUGAACCGCAUGGUUCAACAGUGAAAGACGGUCUUGCUGUCACUUAUAGAUGGAUCCGCGCCGCAUUAGCUAGUUGGUAAGGUAACGGCUUACCAAGGCAACGAUGCGUAGCCGACCUGAGAGGGUGAUCGGCCACACUGGAACUGAGACACGGUCCAGACUCCUACGGGAGGCAGCAGUAGGGAAUCUUCCGCAAUGGGCGAAAGCCUGACGGAGCAACGCCGCGGGAGUGAAGAAGGUCUUCGGAUCGUAAAACUCUGUUAUUAGGGAAGAACAAAUGUGUAAGUAACUAUGCACGUCUUGACGGUACCUAAUCAGAAAGCCACGGCUAACUACGUG